rnacentral:rRNA from 1 species
UACAGAGGGUGCGAGCGUUAUCCGGAUUCACUGGGUUUAAAGGGAGCGUAGGUGGGCUGGUAAGUCAGUGGUGUAAUCCCCGAGCUUAACUUGGGAACUGCCAUUGAUACUAUCAGUCUUGAAUACUGUGGAGGUUAGCGGAAUAUGUCAUGUAGCGGUGAAAUGCUUAGAUAUGACAUAGAAGACCAAUUGCGAAGGCAGCUGGCUACACAAAUAUUGACACUGAGGCUCGAAAGCGUGGGGAUCAAACAGG